AGAGUUUGAUCCUGGCUCAGGAUGAACGCUAGCGACAGGCUUAACACAUGCAAGUCGAGGGGCAGCGGGGAGCGAAGCUUGCUUUGCUCCGCCGGCGACCGGCGCACGGGUGAGUAACACGUAUGCAACCUGCCCGUCACAGGGGGAUAACCCGGAGAAAUCCGGACUAAUACCGCGUGAUACCCCGAGGGGACAUCCCCUUGGGGUCAAAGGAAGCAAUUCCGGUGACGGAUGGGCAUGCGGCGCAUUAGCUGGUUGGCGGGGUAACGGCCCACCAAGGCGACGAUGCGUAGGGGUUCUGAGAGGAAGGUCCCCCACACUGGUACUGAGACACGGACCAGACUCCUACGGGAGGCAGCAGUGAGGAAUAUUGGUCAAUGGGCGCGAGCCUGAACCAGCCAAGUCGCGUGAGGGAAGACGGUCCUAUGGAUUGUAAACCUCUUUUGUCGGGGAGCAAUGGUCUUCACGUGUGAAGGCUGUGAGAGUACCCGAAGAAAAAGCAUCGGCUAACUCCGUG
rnacentral:rRNA from 1 species